rnacentral:rRNA from 1 species
UGGCGACCGGCGCACGGGUGAGUAACGCGUAUGCAACCUGCCCGAUACCGGGGUAUAGCCCAUGGAAACGUGGAUUAACACCCCAUAGUACUUUUAUCCUGCCUGGGAUGGGAGUUAAAUGUUCAAGGUAUCGGAUGGGCAUGCGUCCUAUUAGUUAGUUGGCGGGGUAACAGCCCACCAAGACGAUGAUAGGUAGGGGUUCUGAGAGGAAGGUCCCCCACAUUGGAACUGAGACACGGUCCAA